rnacentral:rRNA from 1 species
GUGGAUUAGAUACCCUAGUAGUCCUAGCCCUAAACGAUCAGGACUUGGGGUGCCACCCGUUCGGGUGUCGUCCCGGAGCUAACGCGUUAAGUCCUGCACCUGGGGAGUACGGUCGCAAGACUGAAACUCAAAGGAAUUGACGGGGGCCCGCACAAGCGGUGGAACAUGUGGUUCAAUUCGACGCUACGCGAGGAACCUUACCUGGGCUCGAAAUGCUGGUGACCAGCUGUAGAAAUACGGCCUUCCCGCAAGGGACACCAGUAUAGGCGCUGCACGGUUGUCGUCAACU